CCUACGGGAGGCAGCAGUCGAGAAUCAUUCACAAUGGGGGAAACCCUGAUGGUGCGACGCCGCGUGGGGGAAUGAAGGUCUUCGGAUUGUAAACCCCUGUCAUGUGGGAGCAAAUUAAAAAGAUAGUACCACAAGAGGAAGAGACGGCUAACGCUGUGCCAGCAGCCGCGGUAAUACAGAGGUCUCAAGCGUUGUUCGGAAUCACUGGGCGUAAAGCGUGCGUAGGCUGUUUCGUAAGUCGUGUGUGAAAGGGGGGGGGUCAAACCGCGGACGGCAUGGGAUACUGCGAGACUAGAGUAAUGGAGGGGGAAGGGGAAUGCUCGGUGUAGCAGGGAAAUGAGUAGAUAGCGGGAGGAA
rnacentral:rRNA from 1 species